UCAAUUUGGACUCUAAGAAAAGUAGAAAACAUGCUACCGCCCCGCUCUACAAGACACUUUUGUAGUGGUCUGAGAUUCAGCUGACAUAAACCAAAGUUUCAAUGACCACAACUCUUCCUGGAUUACUGAGUAGAGCUGAGGGAGCGAACAACAGUUGAAAAUAUUAUACUUAAAAAGAAAAAAAGAAAAGAGGCGGCUGCUGCUGCGGCGACUGAGGUGGGGAAUUGCUGCUCCGACGUGGCGGCGGACUGUCGGCGGUCGGCGGCAUUGCUUCAUUUUAAGCUAAUUCUUCCAACGCUCCGAACGAUGCGAUAGAUGCUUUUCUCAACUCUCGCGGCUGCAAAUGCCUUUACUCUCAGAUCGAGGCUUCCUUUUAACUUAAUCCAGAUUGUCUCUCUCUGCUACGAACAUGCGUGAUCAGGACGCGUGUGCUAUCCAUGAGUGAUCCUAUGGCUGUUAUUUUUAUGCCGGAAAGAAAGAUAGUUCGCUUUGAGAGUUUGGUCGUGCUGAAGUUCUUUUGAAGUCUCCUGAGUUACAAGUGGAUUAAAAAGUUCAGUAUUGCCUACCAGUUUGAGAUAGUGCAGGAUUUAGGGUUUCACGCGUAUGAUGUCAAUACCCAGUUUCGCGACAUAGAUGUAAAGGUAUGUCACGCUGCUCCUAUAAAAUGUUCUUCCGAGAAUUGAAUCCUUAGAGGAUUGAUUAUCUGUUUUAUGGGAUGGUGUCCAGUUGUUGAGGACUUGUUGAUUUCAUGUUAGCAUACCCAUUAUGAACA